rnacentral:rRNA from 1 species
UACAGAGGUCUCAAGCGUUGUUCGGAUUCAUUGGGCGUAAAGGGUGCGUAGGCGGCGCGGUAAGUCGGGUGUGAAAUUUCGAGGCUUAACUUCGAAACUGCAUUCGAUACUGCCGUGCUAGAGGACUGGAGAGGAGACUGGAAUUCCCGGUGUAGCGGUGGAAUGCGUAGAGAUCGGGAAGAACAUCAGUGGCGAAGGCGGCCUGCUGGGCUGUUGCUGACGCUGAGGCGCGACAGCGUGGGGAGCAAACAGGG